rnacentral:rRNA from 1 species
AGAGUUUGAUCAUGGCUCAGGAUGAACGCUAGCGGCAGGCCUUAUACAUGCAAGUCGAGGGGCAGCAGGAUACUUCGGUAUCGCUGGCGACCGGCGAACGGGUGCGUAACACGUAUGUAAUCUACCUUAUACUAGGGAAUAGCUCUCGGAAACGAGAAUUAAUACCCUAUGUUAUAUAAUUGUCACAUGACAUUUAUAUCAAAGCUUUCGCGGUAUAAGAUGAGCAUGCGGCCUAUUAACUAGUUGGUGAGGUAAUGGCUCACCAAGGUAAUGAUGGGUAGGGGAUCUGAGAGGAUUAUCCCCCACACUGGCACUGAGAUACGGGCCAGACUCCUACGGGAGGCAGCAGUAAGGAAUAUUGGUCAAUGGGCGCAAGCCUGAACCAGCCAUGCCGCGUGCAGGAUGAAGGCCAUACGGUUGUAAACUGCUUUUGUACAGGAUAAAUAGGCUUCUGCGGAGGCUGAUGAUAGUACUGUAAGAAUAAGCACCGGCUAACUCCGUGCCAGCAGCCGCGGUAAUACGGAGGGUGCAAGCGUUAUCCGGAUUUAUUGGGUUUAAAGGGUACGUAGGCGGUCUAAUAAGUCAGUGGUGAAAGCUAGCAGCUCAACUGUUAAAUUGCCAUUGAUACUGUCAGACUUGAGUAUAGUUGAGGUGGGCGGAAUUUCACAUAGUAGUGAAAUGCUUAGAUAUGUGAAGGAACUCCGAUAACGAAGGUAGCUCACUAAACUAUAACUGACGCUGAGGUACGAAAGCAUGGGGAGCAAACAGGAUUAGAUACCCUAGUAGUCC